AUGAACGCUGGCGGCGUGCCUAAUACAUGCAAGUCGAGCGAACGGACGAGAAGCUUUCUUCUCUGAUGUUAGCGGCGGACGGGUGAGUAACACGUGGAUAACCUACCUAUAAGACUGGGAUAACUUCGGGAAACCGGAUCUCAUACCGGAUAAUAUUUUGAACCGCAUGGUUCAAAAGUGAAAGACGGUCUUGCUGUCACUUAUAGAUGGAUCCGAGCUGCAUUAGCUAGUUGGUAAGGUAACGGCUUACCAAGGCAACGAUGCACAGCCGACCUGAGAGGGUGAUCGGCCACACUGGAACUGAGACACGGUCCAGACUCCUACGGGAGGCAGCAGUAGGGAAUCUUCCGCAAUGGGCGAAAGCCUGACGGAGCAACGCCGCGUGAGUGAUGAAGGUCUUCGGAUCGUAAAACUCUGUUAUUAGGGAAGAACAUAUGUGUAAGUAACUGUGCACAGCUUGACGGUACCUAAUCAGAAAGCCACGGCUAACUACGUG
rnacentral:rRNA from 1 species